AUAUCAAUAAGCGGAGGAGAAGAAACUAACAAGGAUUCCCCUAGUAACGGCGAGCGAAGCGGGAAGAGCUCAAAUUUGAAAGCUGGCACCUUCGGUGUCCGCGUUGUAAUCUCGAGACGUGUUUUCCGUGUGGCGCUAUGGACAAGUCCCUUGGAACAGGGCAUCGUAGAGGGUGAAAAUCCCGUACUUGCCAUGGCUGUACCAUGCUUUGUGAUACACGCUCUAAGAGUCGAGUUGUUUGGGAUUGCAGCUCAAAAUGGGUGGUAGACUCCAUCUAAAGCUAAAUAUCGGGGAGAGACCGAUAGCGAACAAGUACCGUGAGGGAAAGAUGAAAAGCACUUUGGAAAGAGAGUUAAAAGUACGUGAAAUUGUCGAAAGGGAAGCGCUUGAAGUCAGCCAUGCUGCUUGAGACUCAGCCUUGCUUUUGCUUGGUGUAUUUCUCGGUAGCAAGCCAGCAUUGGUUCGAGUCGUCGGAGAAGGGUAUGAGAAAUGUGGCAUCCUCGGAUGUGUUAUAGACUUGUACUGGAUACGACGAUUUGGAUCAAGGAACGCAGUGUGCCUCUGGCGGGUCUUCGGACACCUUCACACUUAGGAUGCUGGCGUAAUGGCUUUAAGCGGC
rnacentral:rRNA from 1 species